AUUGAACGCUGGCGGCAGGCCUAACACAUGCAAGUCGAGCGGAUGAAGGGAGCUUGCUCCUGGAUUCAGCGGCGGACGGGUGAGUAAUGCCUAGGAAUCUGCCUGGUAGUGGGGGAUAACGUCCGGAAACGGGCGCUAAUACCGCAUACGUCCUGAGGGAGAAAGUGGGGGAUCUUCGGACCUCACGCUAUCAGAUGAGCCUAGGUCGGAUUAGCUAGUUGGUGGGGUAAGGGCCUACCAAGGCGACGAUCCGUAACUGGUCUGAGAGGAUGAUCAGUCACACUGGAACUGAGACACGGUCCAGACUCCUACGGGAGGCAGCAGUGGGGAAUAUUGGACAAUGGGCGAAAGCCUGAUCCAGCCAUGCCGCGUGUGUGAAGAAGGUCUUCGGAUUGUAAAGCACUUUAAGUUGGGAGGAAGGGCAGUAAGUUAAUACCUUGCUGUUUGGACGUUACCAACAGAAUAAGCACCGGCUAACUUCGU
rnacentral:rRNA from 1 species